AAGUCGUAACAAGGUUUCCGUAGGUGAACCUGCGGAAGGAUCAUUAACACGUAUCCAAACGUUAAAACCCCCCUGUGAACCUUUAUUAGUGCGCCCCGUCACGUACCCGAGCCGUAGGAUGUGGUAAAUCAUUGCGUAGUGGUGGGGUUCUCUCAUUGCUACAGAGAUUAGAUUCAGGACCUACGGUUUGGUGACGGCUGCGAGCUAGAAGCGACUGGUAGCCUAAGCAAUAACUUGUCUGACAGUGUCAUUUAUUGUGUAAGCUAACGCCUUAAGCGUGCACUGGCCAACACGGCUGGUGUCAGGUCCCGGGCCCUCGUGGCUCCCUACCACCCCAUUUAAAGAUGAAGGGCUAUGGCCAAGUGGCAGGAUGCCCAGAACAAAAACGUACAACUGUUAACAAUGGAUAUCUUGGUUCUC
rnacentral:misc_RNA from 1 species